rnacentral:lncRNA from 1 species
GAGGUGAUAGAGAUAAAUUAGUGUUAUCUUCUACAAUGGUUAUGAGGUCGAUGAUGGUGCAAGAUCGGGAGGUGGUUGCGGAGAUCAGGUGGUGGUGGCACUGGUCCAAUCACCGAUGGUGGAAUGGGUAGCUGGUCGGCCCUUAUGGUCUUAAGCAUCAGGAAGAGUUUUUGCAACAUGUGAUUCAGAUUCAGAAGGAAUACGGGCGAGUAGAGUAUGAACUUGGGGCGCCGACUAGAGCCCAUCCAAAAUGGGCCGCUAUGAUGGUUGUGGGUAUAGGAACAGGUGUCCUAAGGAUCAUGAGCAAGCAAGACGUUGCCCCUUAUCCCAUUGUAAGUCCAUCUUGCAUGUCUAUGUUUCUUUUUGUCAUUCACUUCAUCAUUGUGUAUGUUGUUUCAGCAACUUGACGAAAUAAUAAAUAGAUAGUUUAUGAUUAAAAAAAAGCAUUUGUCGAUGUCAUAAAUAGUUACACAUGUUUCUUUUCAAUCAAUUUGUGUUUCAUUUGUGUUUUAUUUAGGGUUUAUUUGGAUAUGUACUGCUUCUUUUGAUGUUGAAUUGCAGUAAUCUUCAUUUAACUGUCUCAUUAGUGCCCGAAGCUUUUGAACCCUACAUCGAAGUUGCAGGUCAUGAAUUUGAUCCUUUUCUAUUUUAUAUAUUAUAAACAUUGUUUGGUUUCAGAAUCUGCAACAGGUUUUGUUUCUCGCUUGAAUCGUUUUAAAUUUGAGCCAGGUGUGCUACUUUUAGAUUGAAUUGCUAAAUAACUUAAAGUGUACUGAAUUGAGAGGACUUGCUUUGGGAGAUGAAGGGGAUCAAGUAAUUUCACCCUAGAGGACCGAAACGCAUGAUGCUCAAAGAUGAUGACGAGGUGCUUGCAGUUUUAGCUACACGAGGCUGCGAGAAGACUACAUCUGGAAAUAAGCUUUAUCGUGAUUACCAUAUUAAAGUGAUCGCCAGAUGACAUGGAAGGGGCCGGAAAAUUGACUGUUUGGGUAAGAUUUGGUUUUUUGUUAGUCAUUUAUCUUCAUUUUAGUUUACCCCAAGCUAAUAAUCAUAUUACAUAAAAUAACAUAAUAAGGGAAACUGGCAGAAUGUUGUAUUUAACACCCCUGAACUUUAACCAGUUUUUUUUCUUUUCCUUUUCUUAAGUCGAUUUACGUUGCAAUAUCCCUUCUUCUAGACCCUUUUAAGCGUAAAUGUUGAGAUGAAAGCAUGACUGUUGAGAUGAUGAUCUCUCAAAGUUUGUUAGCAUGUGUACAUGGAGAUAACAAGAGCAACUUAGGGCAUAUAUAAGAGGCGAGAGCGCACACAUUCUUCCAUUUGGCAAAACGAGGUUUGUGGUCUGAUGGAGUGUUGGUCUAGAAGUGUUCUGUCUUGGCACAGGACGAGGGAGGCGAGGCUACUAAAUAUUUCACUGACUUUCAAUUAUAGAUGUAGCUUGGUUUGUAAAGAGUACUUGAUCUUCACUUGGUCUCAAUGACAUGUAUAGUGUACAUAUUCAAAAGAAGCCUCGAAAUAUCAUUGAGUGUCAUUGGGUUUAUUUAGGUGAAACUAAAUAAGAAAUAAUU